rnacentral:rRNA from 1 species
AUUGAACGCUGGCGGCAGGCCUAACACAUGCAAGUCGAGCGGAUGAAGGGAGCUUGCUCCUGGAUUCAGCGGCGGACGGGUGAGUAAUGCCUAGGAAUCUGCCUGGUAGUGGGGGAUAACGUCCGGAAACGGGCGCUAAUACCGCAUACGUCCUGAGGGAGAAAGUGGGGAACUUCGGAACCCCCGCUAUCCAAUGAGCCUAGGUCGGAUUAGCUAGUUGGUGGGGUAAAGGCCUACCAAGGCGACGAUCCGUAACUGGUCUGGGAGGAUGAUCAGUCACACUGGAACUGAGACACGGUCCAGACUCCUACGCGAGGCAGCAGUGGGGAAUAUUGGACAAUGGGCGAAAGCCUGAUCCAGCCAUGCCGCGUGUGUGAAGAAGGUCUUCGGAUUGUAAAGCACUUUAAGUUGGGAGGAAGGGCAGUAAGUUAAUACCUUGCUGUUUUGACGUUACCAACAGAAUAAGCACCGGCUAACUUCGUG